UGUAAAAUGUUGCUCAGAAAUAGUAAUAAGGAGCAAAGCACAAGACGAGAAGAGGAGAUAAAUCAGUUUCAGUAGUGAAGG